CCUCCGGAACGAAGUCGCUCGUGACCGCGAGCGACCGCGACAAGGAAACGGCGAAGUCCAGAGGCAUCCGCUGCUCCGCACACCUGGGGGCGCAGGAGGCGACGGCGCAGCACGGCCACCACCGCGACGGCAACGGCGAGGGUGAACUCUUCCUCUCCGACGUCCACGCGCCCUGCCGCCUUCUCUCCGGUCUCUCCACCACCAUUUAGAGUUGGGGAAGGUGAACCUCCGCCUUCGUGGGAUCCAGUACCAACUCCAAAAGGACCACUCUGGUGGGGAUAUGACUGCUAUGGUUGAUGAGUGGAGCAAGGUCUGAUGGUGGAAUAGAAAUGCUUGUAGGAACCCCUAGUCUUUUUUGAAUAGAUCAAUUUUACUCAAGUAUAUGUCGAAUUUCUGAUGUAGUGUCAUUAUGUAACUGCUGCGUGUUGGCCCCCAACUCCCAUUCACUCAUAUAACAUUACUAGAUGCAGUGUUAACUUGAGCGGCCGAUUACUCGCCAUGUAGCUAAGAUACGUGCAAGUCUCUAAAGAUUGUGAUAAUGUUCAGAUUAUCAUCUUUUGUAACUUGUGACGUUGUUUAUUUAUUUGCAAUCUUUAUUGUUGGAUCUUGAAUUUA